rnacentral:rRNA from 1 species
AACGAACGCUGGCGGCAUGCCUAACACAUGCAAGUCGAACGAGACCUUCGGGUCUAGUGGCGCACGGGUGCGUAACGCGUGGGAACCUGCCCAUAGGUUCGGAAUAACUCCCCGAAAGGGGUGCUAAUACCGGAUAAAAUAUUCGGACCAAAGAUUUAUCGCCUUUGGAUGGGCCCGCGUUGGAUUAGCUAGUUGGUAGGGUAAAAGCCUCCCAAGGCGACGAUCCAUAGCUGGUCUGAGAGGAUGAUCAGCCACACUGGGACUGAGACACGGCCCAGACUCCUACGGGAGGCAGCAGUGGGUAAUAUAGGACGAUGGGCGAAAGCCUGAUCCAGCAAUGCCGCGUGAGUGAUGAAGGCCUUAGGGUUGUAAAGCUCUUUUACCCGGGAUGAUAAUGACAGUACCGGGAGAAUAAGCACCGGCUAACUCCGUG